GAUGAAGAACGUAGCGAAAUGCGAUAAGUAAUGUGAAUUGCAGAAUUCAGUGAAUCAUCGAAUCUUUGAACGCACAUUGCGCCCGGUAGUAAUCUGCCCGGCAUGCCUGUCCGAGCGUCAUUUCAACCCUCGAACCACUAUUCGCGUAGCUGGAUCGGUGUUGGGGCACUACGGUGGAAUACCCGUAGGCCCCGAAAUGAAGUGGCGGUCCCGCCGCGGCGCCCCCAUGCGUAGUAACAUCUCGUCUCGCAUCGGGUCCCGGCGGAGGCCUGCCGUCAAGCCUAUUUUCUAAUUACAGAUGGUUUGACCUCGGAUCAGGUAGGGUUACCCGCUGAACUUAAGCAUAUCAAUAAGCGGAGGA
rnacentral:misc_RNA from 1 species